AGCUCCAAUAGCGUAUAUUUAAGUUGUUGCAGUUAAAAAGCUCGUAGUUGAACUUUAGGCCCGGUUGGACGGUCAGCUCUAUGGGUUUGUACUGUCCUGACUGGGUCUUACCUUCUGGUGAGCUGUCGUUCUGUUAAUUCAGUGCGGCAGGGAACCAGGACUUUUACUUUGAAAAAAUUAGAGUGUUUAAAGCAGGCAUCCGCUUGAAUACAUUAGCAUGGAAUAAUAGAAUAGGACUUUGGUUCUAUUUUGUUGGUUUCUAGGACCGAAGUAAUGAUUAAUAGGGAUAGUUGGGGGCAUUAGUAUUUAAUUGUCAGAGGUGAAAUUCUUGGAUUUAUGAAAGAUGAGCUUAGGCGAAAGCAUUUACCAAGGAUGUUUUCA
rnacentral:rRNA from 1 species